rnacentral:rRNA from 1 species
CCUACGGGCGGCUGCAGUGGGGAAUAUUGGACAAUGGGCGAAAGCCUGAUCCAGCCAUGCCGCGUGUGUGAAGAAGGCCUUCGGGUUGUAAAGCACUUUCAGUGGGGAAGAAAGCCUUGGGGCUAAUACCCUCGAGGAAGGACAUCACCCACAGAAGAAGCACCGGCUAACUCCGUGCCAGCAGCCGCGGUAAUACGGAGGGUGCGAGCGUUAAUCGGAAUUACAGGGCGUAAAGCGCGCGUAGGCGGUCUGAUAAGCCGGUUGUGAAAGCCCCGGGCUCAACCUGGGAACGGCAUCCGGAACUGUCAGGCUAGAGUGCAGGAGAGGAAGGUAGAAUUCCCGGUGUAGCGGUGAAAUGCGUAGAGAUCGGGAGGAAUACCAGUGGCGAAGGCGGCCUUCUGGACUGACACUGACGCUGAGGUGCGAAAGCGUGGGUAGCAAACAGGAUUAGAUACCCGGGUAGUC